UUCCUCCCUGCCGACAUCCAUUCAUUUCUCUUCUCGCUCUCCACCCAUUUCUUUCACUUCACUCCUCUUCUUAAUGGAUAAAAAACGAAAGCUCUUUCAACCUUUUUUCUUUCGAGAGUGAAAAUAACCAAUUCAAAUAGGUAGCCAUUGCCCUCACUUGCGUCAUAGUUAAUCAUCACAAGUUUCAUCGCGGGUGGAGGCGGGACACAGAUCUAGUUCAGCAUUGGGGAUUUGGUGCAAAUCUAGUGUCGAAGAUAAAGGGGAGGACACAGAUCUAGGUUCAGGGUUGGGGGUUUGGUGCAGAUCUAGUACCAACAAUAAAGGGAACCAUAGCUCCAUCAACGACGGUGGACACUGUAGAAGGGAGGUGGAAUUCGACUUUGAUGAAGAUAAAGAUGAAGAUGAAGCAAGGGUACAAGUGUCAUUUACAACAAUGAAAUCCCCAUUGUGUAAGUCCAUUGACGUAAUCCUGAUUACAAUAUAUGAGGUAAUCCUAAAGUCAUCAUGUAAUCCUCAUUACUUAGCAUUGUCCAACCAAAUACCACAGAUGGAGGGAAUGUAUCAGGAUUACUUGUAAUCUUGAUGCAGGGAAACGAACCAAACGGGCUAUUAGGAAAACGUGGUUCAUUUCUAAAGCAUGAGGUUCCAAUACAUUGGAAGGGCUCCUGCUUCACUGUCGAACCACUUCACAGUCUUAGCGCUAUGGUUUGAAAUAGCUGUUCUUGUUUUCUCUCUUCCACCUGUCACAGAAAAUGAGGCCCACUGGAUAAUCUCUAGUGGAAAUUUGUGUAUACUUAACGUCAGGUAAUAGAUGCUUCGAAGUAAUUAAUUGAAAGACAAAAAUAUUACAUGAAAUAAUUUGAGGUACCGGUGCUCUCAAAGAAAAUGGCUUUUGCCUGAUUUUCAGUUGCGAGCGCAGCCGCUGAAUUGAAUAAAAGGUGCCACUUGAACUUAAGAGCAAAACCAAAGGAGGAAAAAAAAAAAAAAAAGAAUGAGAUGGAAAAAUCGCUAUCCAAGCUACUUCCAUAUCUCAACAAAGCUUUAAGGCUUAACUCAUCCUCAGUUUCAUCAAUCAGCUAAAAACCCCUAAUUUAUUAACAUGAUUCAGAUUAAGCGAAGGAAAAAUUAGACAAUAGUUUCAACUAAUAAUAGAGAUGCAACCCCAAAAAAAAAAAAUGAAAUACAUUUCCUUCAACAUUUAGUCAACCAUCCACCCAAACCCGUUCCUUGUUCAAAAGUGCAGCAGCAGAAAUAGAAGAGAGCAGUCCAUCCCCAUUGAUCCACACACACACACACACACACACACCACAUUUCAUGGCGUACGGCAGGGAGGAAGAAAAGAGGAGCAUUGGUAACAGAGACGAAGAUCGAAGAGGGUGAGCAACUCUGAAGUCGAGUUCUGGACGUUGAGGGUGGUGGGUGACGUGGAAGAAUUCGAGGUCGGAAAUGGAGGAGCGGCGAGUUGGGGAGGGGAGAGUAAAAUAAAAUAACGACAGCCACGUGGAAGACAAUUACCUGGGCCCCACGCAUGACGGAAAAAGUGAAGAAAACUUACUGCAUUGUGGAAGCAGCACUCGAAUUAAAAUUCAGAAAAAUUAGUUUUGAGACAAAAAAAUAUGAAGGAAUGGCGUCGCCCAGACUUGAACUGGAGACCUUCAGUGUGUUAGACUGACGUGAUAACCAACUACACCACGACACCUUUGUCGAUGUGAUUCCUAUUGGCUUUGUUCCCAUCCUGAUUCAGGGGCAGUGUAUCGAGCUGAUCACUUUAUUUUCGAGGGCACAUGGCUUGUAUUUUACUCUCGGUGAGACCCAGACAACUUAGAAUUACUCGAGCUUCAUCAAAGCAAAGUUGAGCUACUUUCAUUUGAGUUAAGGAACAUUCCUUCAUUUCUUCUUCUUAAGAGCAGCCAACAAAUAAUACAUCAGAUAUCUCCCAACGUCAUCUAUCCACAUGAAGCCUGCUUGAUUGGGCCCUCACAUUAUGAUUCAUAUUUUAGGAGAAAAAAAACUCGUCCUCACGCUUCACAGAAUGUCUCCUGGCACUUGUUAAUCACUUGUGCUUGGUUCAAGUUAGCUUCAGCGAAGAUAAUUAAAUUAUCCGCAAACAUCUUUGGCUAGAUAUGAUAAGCUCAAAUCAAUCUUUGAUCUAUACAGUCAUCUUUAUUUUUA